UCCUACUAAAAUUCUCUUACAAGGGAAGCCAGUUUGGGGUGAGGUUGCCAUUCACAGCAUUCCUCAGACAUGCCCAGUCCUGUAUGUACUCUUUCCCCUUCCUUUCUGCCUAGCCAGGUUCCUGUUGAUCCCCGAAGGUCUUUAUCAGUUGUUACUUCCCUGGAAAUCAAGCUUUUUAUGUAUUUAUUUAUUUUAAGAUUUAAUUUGUUUAUUUAGAGAGAGAGAGUGCAAGGGGUAAGAGCGCGAGGGGUGGGGGGCAGAGGUGGGAUGAGGGAGCACUUAGGCAGACUCCCCGCUGAGUGCGGAGCUAGCCCCGGAGCUCAGCUCCGUCUCGUGACCGUGAGACUGUUGCAGGGUUCUUGUCUCACGGAAUCGAAAAAUGAAUCUCGAGGGCAAAAUGGUGAAGUGAAAUGGAAGUUGAUUAAGUGAAGGUGAGAGCAGAAAGGAAGGGAAAAGAGCUCUUUAGAGUGAGAGGGGUCCCAAAUGGGUUGCCACUGAGGCUUUUAUGGUGGGUCUUUUAUAGAAAACUGACUGGGGAACUUGGUAAUUAUUUUGUCUGUAACGUUUAAGAGAAACAAGGUGGAUUUGUAAAUAUUAGGAAGAUAUCUCGUCUAUAUUUAGAAUAAACAAGGCGGAUUUGUUAAUGUUCUGUUCUCUCUGGUUAGUAUCUUGUCUGUAACAUUUCUCCACAUCUGGGAUUUCUAUGAGCCUGGUCACGUAGCCCCCUACGUGUCUCUCCCUACCUACCCUCACCCUUCUCUCACUCAAGGCCAUGACCUCAACCAAAAUCAGGAAUCAGAUGCUUCACCGACUGAGCCACCCAGGCGUCCUGGGAAUCCAGCCUUUUUAUUCCCUCCUGGCCGAUAGUGACUUUUCCUGCUUUGCAACCCCCAUAAUACUAUCUCCUUCUCACUGACAUGUGUCGUAAUGAGCUUGACAUGAUUGUCUGUGCCCCUCCCCUGGCCGCUCUUCUGCCAAGGCUCCUUCUCCGUGAAACUUCCCCCACCACCAGCCUGCUAUUUCCACACUUGAUUGUAGUUGCCUGUUUGCAUGUUUUCUGUAAUAUGCUCCUCGAGGGCAUAUCUGAAUGUGCCUGGCUGCUCCAUAAACGUGUAUUGGAUGAACAGAACAUCAGCCUUCCCCACUAGACAGUCGGCUCCUGUAUGGAUUCACUUUGUCCCUCUACCACUCCACCCUGUACUAUCAUUCUUAAAUUGAUUCUGUUCUCCGAGCAUUCAUCAGAAAUUGUUGAUCUCUAGAUGUCUUUUGUAUUUGGACUGUUGGUGAAAUGAAGCUAAUAGGAAGGCUUUUCUAUCUGACUUAUUUUGUAUGGGCAGUAUGGCCCCAUGUUAAGAGCAAUAAUCCAGCAACUGAAAGGGAAGGGAGGUGACAGGCAAGUCAGAACAGCAGUGACUGGGAGCAUGGCCUCCCCAUGGCUGGUGUUGAAUGGGGUUGCAGGAGGUGGGGUUUUGGGCCCUUUGUGGUGUGGCCCCUCCUGUCUGCUGGAUGGCAGACCCCCUCCUCCAUUGUCUGCAUGAUCUCCUGAGCUGCUCCAUUCAACAGACAGCUGCGUCUUCACCCACUUCCCUGCUCCAGAUCUUUUUGCUUUAAAUGAAUGAGUGCUCAGCUUCCUUUUCUCAGACUGUGUACUGUACUGCUAAAUACCCCACAGAAGUUUCUUAUUGAUCCUCCCAGUUUCCUUGGUCACCAUCCACUGAGAAUCCUUGCCCUAACCUUUCCUACCUCCCAGUAACCAGUAGGUGUCUCUUACCUUUGCAUUUCGUCCACAUUUACAGGAUGUUUCUGCCCACAUUACCAGCUUGUGUUCUCCUGUCAAUCCUAGGCAGUCAGACUCAGAGCAGUCAGAUGUCUUACAUGAGGUCAUGUCACCAGCAAGAAUGGAGUUCAGCUUUCCCUCCCCUGCACCGUCUUGGUCAUUCUGCUUGGAAGCCACUACUGCCAUCACAAAACUUGGUACUCUGUGUUCCCUCCAAAGAGAAGACCCUUGACCUUCUGUUAAGAGAUGCAGCCUGGAGGGGGCUUGGGUGGCUCAGUCGGUUAAGUGUCUGCCUUUUGCUCCGGUUGCGAUCUCAGCCUCCUGCGUUCGAGCCCUGCAUUGGGCUCCCUGCUCAGCGGGGAGUCUGCUUCUUCCUCUGCCUGCCGCUCCCCCUGCUGUGCUCUCUCUCUCUCUCUCUCUGUCAAAUGAAUAAAUAAAACCUUUAAAAAAAAAGGGGGGGAUGCAGCCUGACCCUGGUGUUAUCCCCCCACCCCAGCUUUCUUGAAAAAGUAGUUAAUCUUCCUUCCAGGACCUUCCAGUCAAUCUUCUAAGUUUUCUUUUUGUUAGGGCUUAUUUAAAUGCAGGAAAUUUAAUUAGUUUACAUUAAUAUUGCACUGUCUUACUCUAUGAGUAAACUGAAAGACACUAACAGGGGUUUUAUCUAGCUGUUUCUAAUGAUGGUUUUUCUCUCCCUUCUCCUUUAAAUAAUUGCAAAUGCUUGUAUUAAUCAAGGCGGCAGAGCACAGUGCUUUAUUGCCAUGUGGAAUUGUGUGGUUAAAUGUGAUUUUUAAAAAAUGGCUCAAAUUUUAAUUAGAAAGCAGAUUGUUAAAUGACAUUUUGAUUUGUCCUUUGAUGGGGAAUUGGGAAUAGACCCAUCAUGGUAGGAAAGCAGGUUCUAGUCCAGAAGGAGAUGUAUUAACUUAAGAGCAGGAUGUGAUUUUGGUGAGUCAUUGUUUUCCUAAAAUAGGCUGUCUUCUCUGGUCUUCUGUUGAGGGAGAGAGACCUUCCUCUGCAUUUGAUGCCACCUUAAAUGAGCAUUUCCCUAGGAGAGAGUCCAGCUCAGACUCCCCCACGCAGGCUGGUGCUCCCAGUUGUCUAAUCGUCAGGGCACAGGACUAGGCACCAAGGCCCUUCUGCUGGGACUCCUUGAAAACAUCAACAUCGAGAAAUCAGCAAACCUAUUAUGAUGCCUGUAAGUGAAGAAAAUAUGGGGCUACAUACUUCCCAUUGUGGCAUGAUGCAAAUAUCAUUUUACUGCUAACGUGACUGCUUUCUUGGCCCCAAAGCUGGUAUCUGCAUCACUACUGAGGGUCAUCAUAGAAGCAGCCUGCACGUGGCCGGCCGAGUUUGGCCCCAUAAGCUCCUUAUGUGAUGCCCCCCACCUUGAGCUGGCACAGUGGCAGGACAUCCAGGUACCCCAGAAGGAAGGUGGGAAAGGUCACCAGUGAAAAGGCCCAGGCAUUUGUCAUUCCACGUGACUUCUCUGUGCUUUGUAAGGCAUUUUACACCUGUUACAGCAGCUAGCAAACUUGAAUGUCUCGUAGGUACUUCAAACUCACUGGGUCCAACUUUUAUCUCUUGGUCUCUUUCUACCACAGCCCCUUUGCACACCUCCCUUCCCUCCAUCUCAUUAGGGUACACAGCUGUUAAUGCACUUUUUCAAGCCAGAAACUGGGGAGUUGGCUGAUAACACUCACCUUUCUCUUCCUCCAGAUCCCCAAGUCCUUGCGACGCUCUUAAAGUAGAUCUUGAAUUCAUCUGCAGCCCUCCUGUGUCCAUCCCUCAAGUCCAAUGACACCAGUAGCUGCCUGGGUUCCUGCAGAGGCUUCUGAACUGCUUGCCCUGGUUCCACUUCCCUUCCAUUUUGCUCGUCACUUUGGACUCAGGGUGACCUUUAAAACGCUCAUCGUAUCAUUUCACUCCUUACUCACACCUGUCCAUGACCUCUUCCUGCACUUGGAUGAAUCCCAUAUGCCCAACAUGGCCCAUGGAGAGGACCACAUGGCCUGGGCGCCAGGCCUGCCUAGAGGUCUCACAGCACUGUUGACGUCAUGUUCAAGUGGCUGGGGAGACAAUUUAACCUUUCACUCUUGACUUCCUUGGCAGGCUGCGAUGCUUUUGAUUUUCCAAGGGCAAUAAAAUAACUGUCAGCCUGGGAAACGUGUACUUAGAAUGGAUGUCGUGUUCUGGAAAAUGGAAUAGAAGGGGAUUUGUUCCUCCAAACCCCAGAAAUCAACUCUUAGAACACAGAGGUGGACCGCUGUUUGGUUUGGAACUUUAAUAAGCAUUUAACCAACAUGUAAUCUGCUAAAAUGUUAAUACCCCUGCUGUUCUCCAAGUAGCCUCCCUUCCACAUAUUUCAGUGUAAGAACGUGAGCAGCUUUUAGCUCCAGAAAUCAUGACUGAAACUUGGUUCCAGGUCAGUACAAGACAAGACUGACAUUCUACAGGGAAAAAAAAGAAACACACUAAAUAUUAGCGCGCAGCUUUCCUUUUUAAACCCGUUUCUCCUAUCCUGAAGCCUACUCGUAUUCUUUACCUUAACCGUAACCUUUACUUUUGUGUGCUUGUGGCCCCAUGCACGCACAAACACUUGAACAGGGAAAUGUGUCUCAGCCGAGUGACACUCUCCGUUGUCCUCGGGCCUUCCGUUCAAGGUAAUUAAUGGGAGUCCUGAAAUUCCACCUGUGGUUUUGGUGCAGUGUGGCCUCAAAUUAAGACCACUUUUCUGUGAUCUUGAAUUUGUAACUUUUUAUGAUACCAGUUUGGUGGUUCAGUCUGAUGAGUUACAAAGAUUAUAAUGAGAGUAGCAGGCGAGGCCAUCCUGAUACCCGCUGUGGCGUUAUGAGGUGCCAGGGGAGCACAGAGAUGAGCCCCUUACCCACCUUGGUGCCUAGAAAGUCUUGAAAUGCUUUCAAGGGUGUGCGACCCAUGAGAUGGGUCAUGAAGGAGGAGUUUGCCAAGCAGGAGGAGUGACUGGCAGAAAAGAGGUGGAAAAGGGCAUUUCAGACAGCCGCAUGGACGGAGGCCCCAGAGGUCAGCAAGGGCGUGGCACACCCCGAGAACUGUAUGGGGGUGGUUGUGGCUACUGCAGGGGGAGGCGUGACUUGAGCACUGACCAGUGGGCUGGGGGCCCGAUCAUGCAGAAUACUCCCGUGGGAUUCUACGCUGGGGGUUCCUGGGUCAGAUUUGUCUUUUGCAGUAGGGAUUCUGUAGGCUUCGCCUCUACUUUCAAGGUUUCUUCUCAGUGGCAUUGACCCAACUCAGACACACAAGGCCUUUUAUCAGGUUUCAUGGGCGUGGGACUCAAAAUGCCACAGACUUCCAAGUUUAAGGUAUAUCCAUAGGCUCUCUACCAGGAAUCACAAAGACAUUUUUAGAAGUUACUGAAAUGUGGCUGGUGUUAAACUACUGCCCUGCUGGAGUUUAUGAAUGACUCCAUUUCCUGUUCCUUUGGGGUCUGGCUGCCUUACCACGCUUGGAAGUGGUAUGUUUCAGGCUCCUAUGAAGCACAGACCUAUAGGCCAUUGGAUUUCCUGUAGAUGUUGGAAAUGGCACUAUAACCGUGCUGUAUCAGAACCAUCCUGAAUUAGUGAUCAUUUGUAAUUGCUCAGAAUCUAGAUGUUGAAUUAUCAAUUACUGUUAGCUGGGCUUUCUCACUGUUAGUUUAGCAUGAUUUGGUUGGUGGUUAACCUUAACAUAUAAAACAAUGCAUAUUUAUACCAGGAAUGUGUUUUGGCUCAAGAGUUUCCAACAACUAGACUUUAAAACCUAUAUGAGGUUUAAAUGAGUCCUCCAGGGGCACCUGGGUGGCUCAGUCCGUUAAGCUUCUGCCUUUGGCUCAGGUCAUGAUCUCGGGGUCCUGGGAUCAAGCCCCGCAUCGGGCUCCCUGCUCAGCGGGGUGUCUGCUUCUCCCUCUGCCCCUCCUCCCUCCCCCUACACAUGCUCUUUCUCUCUCUCUCAAAUAACUAAAUUAAAUCUUAAAAAUACAUAAAUGAGUCCUCCAUAUGCCUUUGCUAAAGAAGACGCACACAUCUCCCACAUGUGGGGAUGGGCAAGUUGUCGAGUCCUUUGCCGGCUGCCUCAGGCAGUGAUUAGAAGGAUUUAGAAAUGUCAGGCAGGGAACACAAGUUAGGAGGCUGUUGUGGAACUCCUCCCGAGCAAAGAUGAGGGCCUGACGUAGUGGUAGUGGGCAUAGAGAAGGGGACAGAUGUUUGACAGAUUUAUUUAUUUCAGUGAGAGAGGGCAGGCAUAUGCGCGCAAGGAGGAGCAGAGGGAGAGAGAGAGUCUCAAGCAAACUCUGCACUGAGCAUGGAGCCCCACAUGGGGCUUGAUCUCACGACCCUGCAAUCAGACCUGAGCCGAAACCCAGAGUCGGAUGCUCAGCCAACUGCGCCACCCAGGCGCCCCAAGAAGGCCAUUUUAAAGGCAUAAGAGUAGGCAAAAGGGUAACUGAUUCGGACUCGGGAUCGGGGACGUUUUCUCAGUGGCAAGAGUGUGUAAAGCAGGCCAAGAUGAAGAGCCCUGGGGCCGGGCACGUGUUGACCUGUUCUGCCUCUACGUUCAGAGGGACAGGAGUGUGACUGCUCCAUGUGACCUUGGGGAUGGGAUUGGGCUCAGCGCUCAGGGCCUAGAAGGCCAGGCCGAAUCUGCACUGUGUUUUGUCGGCACUGGGGACCCCUGAAGACUCUGUAGCCAGAGGACUGAGAUCAGAGCUUGGAUUAAGUGAGAUCCUUCUGUCUAGAGACUGAGGAAGCAGGAGGUGGAGGCAGGUACUUUGCCGGCCAGGGGAACCUCGAGGGGCCUGCAGACAGGCCACUGGCAAGAUCAGUCAGCCCCAUCUUCAGCGCUGAAAGCCUUCUAGUCCUGUGGCCUUUGCCCAGACCAUCCUCACUGAUGGCUCAGUUUGGCAAAACAGCUUCAGGUUCAGCAGGAAAAGGUGGUAUUUAAACUAAAGAUCAAAUAUUUACCACUUUGUUAGUGACAACUUCGGCAGCCCGAGGCCGCUGUCCGAUGGGGUCAUUCUCCCUCCCCUUCCUCCAGAUUGACCCUCCUGGAGACUUCAGAGAACCUGACGGCCGCUGUGUAAAUAUUUGAUAGCUGCUUAGUGUACGGGCUGCCUUUUGCAGAGUAUUUGAAUUUGGGCAGCAGCAAUCAAGGCCUGCAGUGGCACACAAAUAAUAGGCUUUGAGACAUUCCCAGUGGGUGUGUAGAGUCCUUUCUGGAUUGAUCUUCUCGCCCCUCCGCCCGCCCUUGCUUUCACUUGCAGACAUCAGGGGCGUGCUCCUGUGGGGCGUGCUCCGGGCACCGGUCCACACACCUUCCAGAUGCCAUCAACAACCAGCGCUUCUGAUAUCUUGGCUGUUGAUGAGGUUCCUGUCUACCAGAACAUGAAGACCGCAGCACGCCGAGGGCCGUCGGUUAGCUCACGCCUGGCCGUAGGAGCGAGAGGACGGUGGAUGGGAUUUAGCAGGUUGUGGUGCUGUAUUCCUGGGGUGCUCCAGAGCAUGCCAGCAUGUGGGCAGAGCCCUGGGGGGCCUGUGGGGCAUCUUCCUUGGGGUCACAUUUUACCCAAAGAUGUGGGGAAAAUAAAACUUAAAGAAUAUUGAGGCGUGCCUGAGUGGCUCAGUUGGUUAAGCAUCCGACUCUUGGUUUUUGCCCAGGUUCUGUUUUCAUGGGUCAUGAGAUCAAGCCACGCGUCAGGCUCUGUGCUCAGUGGCAGUCUGCUUGGAUAUUCUCUCCCUCUGCCCCUUCCCCCCCCAAAAAAUAAGUAAAUAAAUCUUGAAAGAAAAAGGAUAUUGAGACCAAUAUGGAUAUGUGUUGGAGGAGAAUUCAACGUCGCUUAGUGGGUAAGAGCAGGGCUCUGGAAGCAGACCGUCUGGGUUUGAAUCUGUCCCACCACUUACUUGCUUUGGGGUCCAGGGCAAGGGACAUAACUGCCCCAGACCUCAGUUCUUGCCUCUCAGCUGGAAGCCUGUGACACAGUAGAGCCUCCCGCACGGGGACACGGUCAGCAUUCAGUGACAGCCACAGCAGGCUUUUAUCACAGUGCCAUGCACAUUGUGGGGCCAACGUGAUAGACGAUUGCUUGACAUUUUAGAUAAAAGAGGAGACAAAUGAAAUUUUAUUCUUGCAGCAGCUCUGCCCCAGACCUGGCCUCCAGGGAUGAAUGUUCACUCACAUCUGCCAUAUUUGAGAUGGACAAGUUAGCAAAGCACUGCCUUAGAAAAAAAAAAAGAGAGAGAGAGACAACAACAAAACACCAGUGCGUACAACUGGCUGACCUGCAUGCGUUCCUGAAUUUCUCUGCACCCUUGCUUUAGUAUUGAGCUGUCACAGAGUGGAGCUGUCAUUAACAAAGUGCUGAAUUAGCGAUGCUUCCUUUAGUACCUGUUGUCUUCCAGUACCUAAUGGAGUAGCACAUGAAGUGGGGGAACCUACGGGUUUGGAGCUGCCAUUGAGGGAGCGACAGCCUCAGAGGAGCAGCAGCCUUUCCGGGCACUUGCACAGACAGGGCUCGCUGCUUCCCUUUCAUUCCCCAGCAGCCUGUGACUCAUCGAGGUGGAGAAGACUGUCCUAGCGGAACCCGGGUCUGUCUCUUCCAUCUGAUUUCUGAGUCCCAGCCCAUUCAUCUCUUGGUUUCCCCCAGAGAUAGAGAGCUCCCUUCUCCAAAAGUAGGAGUCUUCUGCCAUCCGUUCAGGUUCUGCCGGCCAGAGCACAGCUGACCAGGAAUUGUUCCGCUGGCAGCUUCAGUUCUCUGUGACAGAGGGACCUCCGGACCCUGUGCUGGCACAACUCCACUGCGAAAUGUGAUUUAACCGUUUAGCGGCCCUCACUGCGGGGAGGUCUUCUCAGUCCAGUGUUCAUCGGCUGUGGGUCACAGCCAAUGAGCUGAUUGGGAAGUGAGUGGAUCGCAGUGGGCAUUUUUCUAAUGAUGUGGAACCAGAUCGUUGCUCGUCAGUCAUAAGCUCCCGUAUUCCCUUGUAGAACUUUGGUCUCGGGCUGUGUGGUGUGCACCGCUGUUAACUCCGUGGCUUUCUGUGCAUCUCAAAAGCCAUUGCUCUCAACCCUCUUGCAGGAAUUUCAAAUUACUUCUUUUCUCUUGAGUUGGUUUUUUUUUGUCGUUUCUGUGGUUGGAUUUGUUUCAGGUCAACUGGUUUGAAACCAAGUUGCUGGUCGCUGUGAAUUUCUCUCUGACUCCUCAUUAAAGGAGGACAGUGGGCUGUCCACAGUUAAAUAACAAGAUCCAUCAAAGGCCCUGCUUCCUCUCUGCCCUCCUCGUGUGCGGCGAGAGGAGCCGCUGGUUGAGCACCUCAAAAGCUUCACCUGGUCGCAGGGCAGGUCCUGCAAGGGCACUAUUUCCUCGAGGCUGGAAGAGCCUGCUCUGUCACUGGUUCUUGGGAGGAGCACGCGGGGACCGACCUGCAUGCACAUGGGCAUCUCCGCUCUCCCAGAGUCCAGCAGGCGAGGUCUCCUCUUGUCACAUGUUGUCCUUGCAAAUGUGACUGUAACUUGAACCGAGAAGAGGGACACAGCUCCGAAGACGGAGCAGAAUGGAGCGUCAACAGGGCUUUCAGGACCUGAGCUCUGUGUGUGUUCGGGGCAGAGGGGAGGUGGUCGUGGUAGGAGGGGGACGCCCCGGCGGGCAGGGCAUGUAAGCCCCCUGAGCAACAGUGGUGUUUGGGGUGCCAGGGCCUAUGCCAAGCACCUUGCAUUUGUAAUCCCAUGCGGUCUUCACGUCCUUCUCUCACUUGGUCACACUGGCCUGACAAGACCCCCACCCUGGUUCAGUCUAACGUCCUCCACCCCUGGUCCCCCACACCUGCACCUGCUCCAUUGGCGCCCCCUGACUCUCCUCACUUCAAGAUCUGUGACCUGUGGCUGCAGGUGCGCCGCAUGCUGCCGCGGUCACACGAUAGUCCUCGGCUGCAUUUGUGCCCCUUGGGACAACUAUUUCGUGGUUUCUGGCUCUUCAGACGUCUGACAGCUCCUCCUCCUUCCUGCGUCCUAAGCUGAUGGCCUUCUUCCCUGUUCAUGCACAGCCAGUGGCGGUCGCAUGAGAACUUGGGCCUGCUCCCAGCACCGCACUGGUGGCCCCGGUGCAGGGCCAACCCGCUGGUGGCCCAGAACCUUCUGUGUUCCCCCCAGGGGUGCUUCGUCAGUUCUUUUUCUUUCCUUGUCCUGGUGUACUUCCCCCUAUGAUAUGAACAUUCUGAAACUGCCUUAACUACGUAACACACAGAGCAAAACUCUUGUCCUCAUAGCCCCUCAUUCUGACCCACUUUUUAUAAUCUAAGGAUGCUGCUGCUAACCGUCUGUACUAUGGGAGCACGUACCAGACCUUAUUCUCACCGGUUCAUUAGGUGUGAUUCCUAUCCCCAUUUCUCAGAUGAGAAAUUGGAGGCCUGGGAAAAUUGAGCACCUUGCCCGAGAUCCCAGGGCUGGGAUUGCAGUGCAAACACUCGGCCUCCGAGCCCUGCCCUGAGAAGAGUUGCCUACUGGUGGUCUCCAUCCCCUCCACCCCCUUCCUCUCUGGGACCUACUCAUAACGCUGCCCCCUCCUCACCUCUCCCCCAAAACCUGCUUGUGACCAAAUCUUAGAGCCCUUUCUGCGCUUGCCUCCCAGGACACCUUACUCUUCCUGGUCUUCCUCCUUUCACUCAUUUUCAGUCUGUCUUGCUGGUUCCUCUUCUGUCCUCCCAGAUCUAAGCAUUACAUAGCCCCAGGGCUCCAUCCCUGUCUGCCCUCACUCACCAGCCUCAUGGCUUUCAGCACGGACAGCCCCACGUUCCAGCCUCCAGCCCGCUUGCACCCCCAACCAGGCCCCUGCCUCCUGCUGUGUGCUCGCUGGCUCCAUUAGAGUCUCUGUCUCGAUGCGUCCCAGCUUCCCACACCCCCACUCAGCCUGCCUGGCCUCUUACACACACGCCUAAACGGCCUCUCUGUUCUUCCCCAUACUCAGGCCUUAGUCCGUUUUCUUUUUUCACACUCCAGUUCCAGUCUGCUGGUAAAUCGUGUGACUCUGCCUUCAAAGUGCACUCAGGAUCUGACCACUUUUCACCACAUCUGCCCCUUCCCUGGACCAUGCCACUGAGUCUCACCUGAAUGAUGUCCAGGCAUCUUCCAUGCAUCUUCACCAGUGUCCCUGCCUCAGCCCUGACCCCCUGCAGCCAGCUGUCCAACGGUGCUCUUUUUAAAUACAGGCCGAGCCCUCCGGUGGCCCCCAUCUCACCUUCGCCCUCUCCCUCUCUGGCCUCACCUCUGCGUGCUCCCUUCUGCCCUCUAGCUGUGCCGGCCGCUGCACUGCCUCUGGGGUGGGGGCUGCCCUCGGGCCUUUGCACAUGCUCUGCCCUGUCUGGAAGGUCUUCCGAAGAACGCGCACAGGUCACUUCCUCACUUCCUAGAGUCUCUGGUCCAAAGUCACUUUCUCAGGAAGCCUUCCUUGAUGGUUACUCUCGAGGUGCUGCCUCUGUACCACCCCUCCCCCUUUCUGUUUUCUACAACACAUUGCAUCAUCUGACACAAUUCUGUUCAUCUGUUGGUUGCCUGUCUCCCCGUGUCCUUGAAAACUACCCAGAGGCAGCAUUCUGCCUGUCUUGUUCAUAGCUGUAUCCUCAUUCUAUCCCCUGACACACAGUAGGUCCUUAAAACAUAUUUGAAUGACAGGCACUUUCAUCUCUAGUUUCUAGAUAGAAGAAUUAGAAGCUGAGAGUUACUUGCCCAGGGCCACAGACCCUAAAAGUGCCAGGACAAGGAUAGAAACCCUGACAUGAGCUUAACUGCUCCGUGUGCUCCUUCUUCUUGUUCAAUAAGGACCAUAACAUGUAACGGGCACAGUUACCGCGGGGAUGAAAAGGGUAACGCGCAGGCAGGCGCAUGUAAACCCCAGUGUGCCAGAGGAAUGGUGCUUAGCUAAUUUAGCCAGAACCGUAGCUUUUCAUGUCUGUUGUUCAGCAACCUCCCGAAGGCUCUUUCGCCUUCUUGGGUUUUUAUUCAGGAGCAGCCGAUACUGCCUCCACCAAAUUACCUACUUUCUUCUUCCUUCUGCCCUUGGUGAGAGAACUCCGUGCAUGUGUGUGUGUGUGUGUCCGUUGGCUUCUGUCUGUCGGUAGCUCUGACCGCCCCCCCCCCCCCCCCCGCUGGCCAUCAGGUGGAAAGCUCCCCCAGCCUCUGUGGCCCGUCAGCAGCCGGGGGGCCGGUGGGGGGCGGCUGGAGCCCAUGUGCCUGUGGCUGUCACUGUGGGUUCAUGUGUGUGCUCCCAGGGAAGGCGCUUAUGUUAUCAGCAGGUGCUUAGCGGGUGUCAGGAGUCCUCUCUUGCACAAUUCUCCUGGCAGCCUGCCCACCCCCUGCCCCCACUCUCUGCGGCAGACUGGAGUGAAGUGAUCACAGGCCCAUUAUGGCUAAAUACCAGGGACAUAAAAUGAAGCAGGCACACUUGAUGAACCACAGAGCUGCUGCUCUCAAGCACGCAAUUUAUGUUUCCCUGAACCCAGGGCAGCUUCCCCAGUCUCCUAGCGCGGGGCAUGAAGCAGUUCAGCCCUCCUAGUGCUUCCUGUUAGGGUAAUGACGCAGCCAUGAGAAGGGGUAGUAGACACCCCCCUCCAUACAUCCUUUGGACGUGUUGUUCAUUCGUUGGGAUGCUUGGUUUUCAAGGAGGAGAAAAAUGCAACCAUUUUCUCCAUGAGCACCUGAAACUGCCUUUUCCGAAGACAGGAGAGCCGCGGCACCUGAGAAAAGGUGCCCAGCAGGGAAACUAGGCGGGCGGUCUUCUGGGGGAGUGGUCUCCCGUGGGGAGCCAUCGCUGGGGCCUGGCUUCCGUACUCGCCUUGAUUGUGCGGAGAUGUAGGGGCGCCGUAGACAGAGUUCGCAGCUGCUUAACACUGUCACUGAGCCAGGGCGCACUGUCUUCGGCGGGCAUCCCUCCAGCAGCCUGUGACAUCAGGUGAAAACAGACAGCAGUGAAGACGGGGACAUCAAGCAGCCUGGCCCACGGGGAAAAUUCUGGCAGGAUAUGGUGCAUCCUUGAACCCAGGUCCUCGGCCCAGCCCAGGGCGGGCAUGCGGUGAGGCUUUUCGGGAAUCAGGACAAGCCUGGCUGUAGGAAACAGGCUUUAUCUGCUGCCAAGUGAGACAAGCCCAGAGGGCCUGCGCUCCCUCUUGCACACCCUCCCUGAGUCCUCGGCCUCCAGAGCAGAUGGGCAGAACAGGCGUGGACUUUGGAGUCUGCCUCCCAUCCCCCCCUGUGCUUCUGGGGCAUGUCGGCCAACCAGGAGCGGCUGGGUGGAGUAAGAGGAGCCCAGUUCUUGAGCCAGCUAGAGCUAGGUGAAUCCAGCUGCAUGGCUGACUUGCUACCGGGGCCUUCUCGAAGCCCCACCUCCCUCGUCUGCAAGAUGGGAUUACAGCCCACGAGGUUUGGCGCCUUGACCAGAGGAGUGUGGCCCUUCCUUCCAAACCCUCUCCGGACGCGCCCUCCAGCAUCUCCCGGGGAAGAUGCGGCAGCUCAAAGGCAAGCCCAAGAAGGAGACGUCCAAGGACAAGAAGGAGCGGAAACAGGCCAUGCAGGAGGCCCGGCAGCAGAUCACCACGGUGGUGCUGCCCACAUUGGCCGUGGUCGUGCUCCUGAUCGUGGUGUUCGUGUAUGUGGCCACGCGCCCCACCAUCACCGAGUGAGCGUGGGGAGCCGAGGCCCGGGAGGGGGAAAGCAAAAGAGAAAUGGCUUUCAUAUUCAGAGAUUUUCCUGAUGCUGAGCUCUAAGCUGGAGCACCCUGUCUUCUCUGGUCUUUGACUUGAUUAAAGUUUCUCCAAUUUCCCUGGGAGGGAAUAGGGAACGUUUUAUCAGUGAAUGUGCCAUACACCUUAUGGUCCACUUCAUGUGCCUUCCAGACUUCAAAGCAGUUGUGUGUGUGUGUGUGUUUCUUUCUUGCUCCUGAAAUCGAUAUGUCGCCCCACCUGGUGAGCGGAGGAAUGGGUCAUGAAUCGCUUGGAAUCAGUGCUCACCCCAUCCCCAUUGUUUAGAACAUGACUCUUUGCCUACAUGUGUUCACGAUUUCCAAAGGGACUGUAUUUCUUCUCUGUGCUUAAUGUGAUUUGAAAUAUGUCGACUCAAAAGUGAAAUAUUUAUUUUUUGAAUAAAGGAGAUAAUAGCCUUAAA